ensembl:misc_RNA Metazoa_SRP Metazoan signal recognition particle RNA
GCCAGGCAUGGUGUCACACACCUGUAGUCCCAGCUACUUGGGAGGCUGAGGUGGGAGGAUUGCUUGAGCCCGGGAGAUCCAGGCUGCAGUGAGCUAUGAUCACACCACUGCACUCUGCCUGGGCAACAAAGUGAGACCCCGCCUCAA